rnacentral:pre_miRNA from 1 species
AGUAGAAGGGACAGAGACAAGUGAAGAAGAGAACGUCUCAAAAUGAGACGUUCUCUUCUUCACUUGUCUCUGUCCCUUCUACUUUU